ACUAAGCGUACACGGUGGAUGCCCUGGCAGUCAGAGGCGAUGAAGGACGUGCUAAUCUGCGAUAAGCGUCGGUGAGGUGAUAUGAACCGUUAUAACCGGCGAUUUCCGAAUGGGGAAACCCAGUGUGAUUCGUCACACUAUCAUUAACUGAAUCCAUAGGUUAAUGAGGCGAACCGGGGGAACUGAAACAUCUAAGUACCCCGAGGAAAAGAAAUCAACCGAGAUUCCCCCAGUAGCGGCGAGCGAACGGGGAGGAGCCCAGAGCCUGAAUCAGUGUGUGUGUUAGUGGAAGCGUCUGGAAAGGCGCGCGAUACAGGGUGACAGCCCCGUACACAAAAAUGCACAUAUUGUGAGCUCGAUGAGUAGGGCGGGACACGUGGUAUCCUGUCUGAAUAUGGGGGGACCAUCCUCCAAGGCUAAAUACUCCUGACUGACCGAUAGUGAACCAGUACCGUGAGGGAAAGGCGAAAAGAACCCCGGCGAGGGGAGUGAAAAAGAACCUGAAACCGUGUACGUACAAGCAGUGGGAGCCUCUUAAUGGGGUGACUGCGUACCUUUUGUAUAAUGGGUCAGCGACUUAUAUUCUGUAGCAAGGUUAACCGAAUAGGGGAGCCGAAGGGAAACCGAGUCUUAACUGGGCGUUAAGUUGCAGGGUAUAGACCCGAAACCCGGUGAUCUAGCCAUGGGCAGGUUGAAGGUUGGGUAACACUAACUGGAGGACCGAACCGACUAAUGUUGAAAAAUUAGCGGAUGACUUGUGGCUGGGGGUGAAAGGCCAAUCAAACCGGGAGAUAGCUGGUUCUCCCCGAAAGCUAUUUAGGUAGCGCCUCGUGAAUUCAUCUCCGGGGGUAGAGCACUGUUUCGGCAAGGGGGUCAUCCCGACUUACCAACCCGAUGCAAACUGCGAAUACCGGAGAAUGUUAUCACGGGAGACACACGGCGGGUGCUAACGUCCGUCGUGAAGAGGGAAACAACCCAGACCGCCAGCUAAGGUCCCAAAGUCAUGGUUAAGUGGGAAACGAUGUGGGAAGGCCCAGACAGCCAGGAUGUUGGCUUAGAAGCAGCCAUCAUUUAAAGAAAGCGUAAUAGCUCACUGGUCGAGUCGGCCUGCGCGGAAGAUGUAACGGGGCUAAACCAUGCACCGAAGCUGCGGCAGCGACACUAUGUGUUGUUGGGUAGGGGAGCGUUCUGUAAGCCUGUGAAGGUGGCCUGUGAGGGUUGCUGGAGGUAUCAGAAGUGCGAAUGCUGACAUAAGUAACGAUAAAGCGGGUGAAAAGCCCGCUCGCCGGAAGACCAAGGGUUCCUGUCCAACGUUAAUCGGGGCAGGGUGAGUCGACCCCUAAGGCGAGGCCGAAAGGCGUAGUCGAUGGGAAACAGGUUAAUAUUCCUGUACUUGGUGUUACUGCGAAGGGGGGACGGAGAAGGCUAUGUUGGCCGGGCGACGGUUGUCCCGGUUUAAGCGUGUAGGCUGGUUUUCCAGGCAAAUCCGGAAAAUCAAGGCUGAGGCAUGAUGACGAGGCACUACGGUGCUGAAGCGACAAAUGCCCUGCUUCCAGGAAAAGCCUCUAAGCAUCAGGUAACAUCAAAUCGUACCCCAAACCGACACAGGUGGUCAGGUAGAGAAUACCAAGGCGCUUGAGAGAACUCGGGUGAAGGAACUAGGCAAAAUGGUGCCGUAACUUCGGGAGAAGGCACGCUGAUAUGUAGGUGAAGCGACUUGCUCGUGGAGCUGAAAUCAGUCGAAGAUACCAGCUGGCUGCAACUGUUUAUUAAAAACACAGCACUGUGCAAACACGAAAGUGGACGUAUACGGUGUGACGCCUGCCCGGUGCCGGAAGGUUAAUUGAUGGGGUUAGCGGUAACGCGAAGCUCUUGAUCGAAGCCCCGGUAAACGGCGGCCGUAACUAUAACGGUCCUAAGGUAGCGAAAUUCCUUGUCGGGUAAGUUCCGACCUGCACGAAUGGCGUAAUGAUGGCCAGGCUGUCUCCACCCGAGACUCAGUGAAAUUGAACUCGCUGUGAAGAUGCAGUGUACCCGCGGCAAGACGGAAAGACCCCGUGAACCUUUACUAUAGCUUGACACUGAACAUUGAGCCUUGAUGUGUAGGAUAGGUGGGAGGCUUUGAAGUGUGGACGCCAGUCUGCAUGGAGCCGACCUUGAAAUACCACCCUUUAAUGUUUGAUGUUCUAACGUGGGCCCCUUACCGGGGUUGCGGACAGUGUCUGGUGGGUAGUUUGACUGGGGCGGUCUCCUCCUAAAGAGUAACGGAGGAGCACGAAGGUUGGCUAAUCCUGGUCGGACAUCAGGAGGUUAGUGCAAUGGCAUAAGCCAGCUUGACUGCGAGCGUGACGGCGCGAGCAGGUGCGAAAGCAGGUCAUAGUGAUCCGGUGGUUCUGAAUGGAAGGGCCAUCGCUCAACGGAUAAAAGGUACUCCGGGGAUAACAGGCUGAUACCGCCCAAGAGUUCAUAUCGACGGCGGUGUUUGGCACCUCGAUGUCGGCUCAUCACAUCCUGGGGCUGAAGUAGGUCCCAAGGGUAUGGCUGUUCGCCAUUUAAAGUGGUACGCGAGCUGGGUUUAGAACGUCGUGAGACAGUUCGGUCCCUAUCUGCCGUGGGCGCUGGAGAACUGAGGGGGGCUGCUCCUAGUACGAGAGGACCGGAGUGGACGCAUCACUGGUGUUCGGGUUGUCAUGCCAAUGGCACUGCCCGGUAGCUAAAUGCGGAAGAGAUAAGUGCUGAAAGCAUCUAAGCACGAAACUUGCCCCGAGAUGAGUUCUCCCUGACUCCUUGAGAGUCCUGAAGGAACGUUGAAGACGACGACGUUGAUAGGCCGGGUGUGUAAGCGCAGCGAUGCGUUGAGCUAACCGGUACUAAUGAACCGUGAGGCUUAACC
rnacentral:rRNA from 1 species